CCUACGGGUGGCUGCAGUCGAGGAUCUUCCGCAAUGGGGGCAACCCUGACGGAGCGACGCCGCGUGCAGGAUGAAGGCCUUCGGGUCGUAAACUGCUGUCACACGUUAUGAAAAAGUGUGGACUAAUACUCCGCACCUUGACAAAGGCGUGAAAGGAAGCCACGGCUAACUUCGUGCCAGCAGCCGCGGUAAGACGAAGGUGGCUAGCGUUGCUCGGAAUUACUGGGCAUAAAGCGCGCGUAGGUGGUCCUGUAAGCGGGGGAUGAAAGCCCAUGGCUCACCCAUGGAACUGUCCUUCGGACUGCAGGGCUGGAGGGCGGGAGGGGAGAAUGGAAUUCCCGGUGUAGCGGUGAAAUGCGUAGAUAUCGGGAGGAACGCCGGUGGCGAAAGCGAUUCUCUGGCCCGUUCCUGACACUGAGGCGCGAAAGCUAGGGGAGCAA
rnacentral:rRNA from 1 species